GGAAUAUUCCACAAUGGGGGGAACCCUGAUGGAGCGACGCCGCGUGAGUGAAGAAGGGCUUCGGCUCGUAAAGCUCUUUUCUCGUUGACGAAUUGGCGUAAGCAGUUGACGGUAGACGGGGAAUAAGCCACGGCUAACUACGUGCCAGCAGCCGCGGUAAUACGUAGGUGGCAAGCGUUGUCCGGAAUUAUUGGGCGUAAAGGGAGCGCAGGCGGAAAUUUAAGUCGUACUUAAAAGUGCAGGAGUAAAACUUGUGAUGGGUACGAAACUGGAUUUCUUGAGAGCAGGAGAGGCAAGCGGAAUUCCCAGUGUAGCGGUGAAAUGCGUAGAUAUUGGGAGGAACACCAGUGGCGAAGGCGGCUUGCUGGACUGCAUCUGACGCUGAGGCUCGAAAGCUGGGGUAGCGAACG
rnacentral:rRNA from 1 species